rnacentral:lncRNA from 1 species
GGGUACAACGCCCAGCAGGCCUUCGCCCCAAACCGCACCGUCAACCUGGCUCAUGCGGUUCUCUGCCGGUCUCACGCACACUUCCCGCCUAACGUCAGCCACCCCUCACUCUAGGGAACCGCAACCUCACGAGCCCCGCCCGAAGCCUCUUUUCGCCCCGCGCCCCCUGCCGGUCACCCCAGCAAACACACUCCCGCACCUUCAGGCGUGCAUUCCUCUGAAUUCUCUGUAUUCCUCCUUGGCUUGCGCCCUCUUGCAGUGCCCAGGGCUUUUUCUAGGUGCUCUACUGUGCCUUCACGUCCUGACAUUCUAUCUUCUACUUGCUCCAUUCUCCUAAGGAAGGUUUUUCAUUGAGUCUUCUCAAUGUGCGCUAGGAUCACAAGAGAGCCACUGCGAUGAAAAUGAGAACGCAGCCACUGGACUGAGUGAUGCCCUUGCAUGUACAGAAAACUUGCUACAUCCCUUCAGCUUGCUAAGCCUUCCCGGAGGCCUUGAAGGAAGGACAAAGAGACCACAGUGCAGUUUGGUCUCUACCAAAAUGCCACGGGUGACCUUGCAAUACUCCCCAAGGGGUCCUCCCCUUCUU